CUGACCAACACGUGUUGUGGAACCCGGCAUACUGGAAGUGCUCAUUACCUCUAGAUCAACAAUGGUUGUUGUGUAGAAGCUUCUUGUUCUUUAAUGCAACACAAAGGAGGGAUUCCAAAAUGGCCUCGGUAUUGGUCACUGUGAGGCACGACGUAUCUCAGGCGAGGGAAGAGUCCCCUCUGACGCAGGCGGGCGGAUCCUUAUCGCCCGUAGUCACACCCGGUGGCAGAUCGCGCUGAGGCUGACGGUUGCACGUCGAGCAAUAUGCCGAUGAUGCAGCCCUAUCGUCCUACUUUCCCUUCCGAUAAAAGCACCAGCUGAUCCUUGGAGUCCAACUGAAAGAGGGGACUAACUUACACCCAACAUGGAGGCUGGCAUAAAUCUGGAGAAAAGGUUCCGACUGAGACAGACACAAGCGAGUUGGACACCGAAUGAAGAAGACAUGCAAAAGGGGAGCCGUGUGACUAGACUCUCACAUCGGAGCCUCGAAAGCGAGGAGAGCUGUGAGUGAUGGCGGAGACGCCGUCCAACGGGAAGAUGAGCGAAUCCCAGUCAUAAAUAUUUACACUGAGAACAGACAGGAGCCAUUUCAGAUGUGUGGUUAUGUUUUUGUCAAACGGAUUAUAAAAGAAAGCAUCGGGUCAAAGAGAGUGCAGCUGUCAUUCAGAGGUUGUGCGUUAAAUUUUCAGUCGCUGACUAUGAUUCAAAGUGAGAGAAACGGAUGUGAAGAAUCCCUUUUAUUUGCUAACUUAUUUGUUUGUUUGUUCACAUAAGUUCACAUAACCCUUACAUACUUACACAAUGCAUAUUUCAUCACUUGACGAGAGAUGGUCAUUGUGUUUGUGUGUGUGUGCAACAUUGACCACAAUUCAAUAAUGUUUACAUCUUAUUCUUUAAAUCCCGAUCGAGCCCCUAUAGAGAGAGUAGGGUCUGGAUAUUAACGCUUCAUAUGUCCCUUGUGUGUCUGCAUGCAUGAGCUCUGUGAGGAUCAUGUGAUUGAACAGAACCUACAGUUGGUGCCUCUUGGUAUAAACUACAUGAAGAAGACCCAAGCGGUCGCUGAAAGGGUUAAACAGAUGAAGCCCCUCUCCCCCUAAAAGCUUCCAGAAGCCAGCCGCUCUGAGGGGAUCAGAGCUUUCAGACCACUUGUUGCUAAUAGAGGGAUAUUUACGGGAACAGAGAGAGAGUGUAACCUCGGGUCACUGCACUCUGCAACAACACUGACACUAAGACACACAGACAGCCUGUUCUGCUUUUACAGCACGAACAGACAGAUUCAAAAUAAAAGAGUGUGAAGCAAAGAGGAAAGCUGUGCUCAGACAGGCAGCAGGUUCAGUGCGGGUCGCUUUUGAUUAACAGAUAUCAGCAGGAGAAACGCGGCGAACACGGCAGGUGUUUGCAACCAGCUGUCAAGCAGAGGUGCCUGCACCUGCUGUGACAUCAUCGCUCAGGUGUGGCUGGUUGCGCAACAAUGCUCGAAUAUUUCGGCAUCGGGGAGAAUCCACUUUCUGUUUUUUUGAAUAGAAG
ensembl:lncRNA